rnacentral:ncRNA from 8 species
GAGAGCCGUAUGCAUUGAAAGGUGCACGUACGGUUCGGAGGGGGGGUAACGGUGAUCUAACUCAAGAUAAGCAGGACAUAUUCGCCAUUUAUCUUGAAAGACCACACGUACCCUACCCUAC